rnacentral:tRNA from 1 species
GGAUUUUUAGUUAAAAGAUAAUGUUUGCUUGUCAGGCCUGCGUUGCACAAUAUGUGUAAGAUCUU